rnacentral:rRNA from 1 species
UACGAAGGACCCGAGCGUUAUCCGGAUUUAUUGGGUUUAAAGGGUGCGUAGGCGGAUUUAUAAGUCAGUGGUGAAGCCUAUAGCUUAACUAUAGAAUUGCCAUUGAUACUGUAAGUCUUGAGUACAGUUGAGGUGGGCGGAAUGUGCAGUGUAGCGGUGAAAUGCUUAGAUAUUGCACAGAACACCAAUUGCGAAGGCAGCUCGCUAAGCUGUAACUGACGCUGAGGCACGAAAGUGUGGGUAGCAAACAGG